UGGCAAGGGGUGUUUCCAAGAUGGCAGCCAAGCAAACUGAGAUUAUUGUUUGACAGAGAAACCAAUCCUGUAUUACAGUUUGUCUCCUGUCAGACCAGGUUGUGGCUGACUGUUGCCAGUUCCAUGAUCUAACAUCUGAAUAGUGCCCCAAAAAAGGGAUGGCUGAUUUGAAUACCCAUAUAUCAGUCCUGCCCCGGGCUGGUUUUGGGGUAAUUACAUUUUGGCAGUUUUCGCCUUGAUGUUGGAAAAACACACUUUUUUGAAGACUUUUGAAGAGGCUGAGAAGGUUCUGGUGUCCCUCUGGGAGAUUUGGAGACCGGAGCCUCAUAUAUAAAAACAUACUUACUGUAUAAUCAUCCUUA